rnacentral:rRNA from 1 species
UACGGAGGAUCCGAGCGUUAUCCGGAUUUAUUGGGUUUAAAGGGUGCGUAGGCGGGAGAUUAAGUCGGUGGUGAAAUUUUGCAGCUCAACUGUAAAAGUGCCAUUGAUACUGGUUUUCUUGAGUGUGGAUGAAGUAGGCGGAAUUUGUGGUGUAGCGGUGAAAUGCAUAGAUAUCACGAGGAACUCCGAUUGCGCAGGCAGCUUACUAAACCAUAACUGACGCUCAGGCACGAAGGCGUGGGGAUCAAACAGGAUUAGAUACCCU